rnacentral:lncRNA from 1 species
UUUUUUUUUUCUGAAGACGCAGGAGAAAGAGACCUUGCAUUUGGAGCUUUCAGUUCUAAAGCUGCACCAGUGCUUAUCUUUUUAAGAUGCAUCUUGAUGGAAGAGCUAGUGAAUUUAGGUUCCAUCAAUGUUUGGCUCCACAUAUUGAAGUUGUGUAUUAGUUUAUUUUUUGUGUCUUCAAAGGUUAAAACUAUCAGUGCCAUUUAUUCAAUGUAGAUGAAAGAUAACAACUGUAAGGGGCAAGUCAGAUGGAUUCUUUAGAAUUAACACCUUAGCAGAAACUUGGUAUUCCAAAUUCGAAUCCAGUUCCCAUGUUGGUCGAGGUUUCUUUAUCUUGUGGAUUCUUUUCACCUCAGAUAUGUGUAAUCUGCCUAAGUGGCCUGUACAUCCACCAUAUUGAACCUAGGUAGCAUAAAUCUCUUAUGUUCAUUUAACAAUAUGAUCUCAGCAUUAUGUCAAUCUCCGAAGUCUGAAUUGUAUCAGAAUUUAGAACUGAAUGGGUGGUAUGUUCCUGAAGAUGAGAAGCUCGAAAAAAGUAUUGUAAAUUAAGUAAUUUAUUUUGGUUAUCUAGGUAGCCGUUGAACCAUGAUUUUUUAUGUUGUUCCCAAGUACAUGUUAUCGACCUUUUGUGGUCUGAUGCAGAACUUGGCCAUUGAUUUAUAGCAAACAAAGACCCCCCCGCGCCCCCCCCCCCACCCCCACCCCCACCACCACGACCACCACCACCACAAAAAAGUUUGUACACUCUUUUGAAAUUCGUUUGAACAAUAUACAUCAUAUUACCCACAAAUAGUUUAUCAAAUAUUUGGAGUUUUACCACAUGCAUGUUUAAAAAAAACUUUACGUGAAAAUUUUAUUAUCUUUUGGGGGUUGAGAGGAAGGGGGAGCUUAUAUAAGAUAUUUGAGCAUUCAUCUCAUGGUCAUAUUCACAAUAAAACUGUCAUCAUCGGCUUAUGCUAACCAUGAAAGUUGCAUCACGUGGGCAAAGGUUAUACCAAAUUACCAAUAAAUCUCAACCAUUUCCACCCUUUUACCUUUUACUGGACAUGUUUUCAAUACUCUUUCUAACAUUUGCCAAUUUUUCUUUGCACAUAUUGGUAUCUUUAUAUUGCCCUACUAUAAGGUUCUCUAAAUACCUUUGUUCAUUUUUCUUCUAGACUGUUUGAGUUAAAAAUUUCUGCGCAUCUUACUAUAGAGUGCACAUAUUAGAGUGUUUGAUUUUAAAAGCUAAAUGCCUUUGUAGGAUGAUCUAAACAUAUUGCCCUAUUGUUCCACAUUUUACAAGGUAGAGAGGAACCACUAGCCUAGUUAGCAUCUGAAUUCCCUGGAGCUAGUGUACGGGGAAAAAAAGAUAUUGAGUGAUAGUCCCACGAUGGUAUGGAACAUGAAGAUGACUAGUGGAGCUGAGUGGGAGCAGAACAAAAUAAUUUAAGAUACACAUUGAAUAUGAAAUGUCAUAGACAGGUGCCACCAAAAUAAAUAAGACUACAAUUUGGCGAUAGCAUGUGGGAUACCCAAGAGGCUCACCAUUAGUUGCAUGAAUGUGAACAUUGAGCUCCAUGGAAGCCUUAAUAAUGUGUCAAUUCAUGAGAAGCAUCAUCAAGAAGAUCGUGGAUAUACUUCUUGGGAGUUGCGACAAUUAAAAGCCUUCAGGUGUAAAGGAAUCUUCGGCCCCAAUGAAGUUAUGAAAAUAUCACAUAUCCAACAUAAGAAACAAAUCAUAUGACGUGCCUUCACACAGUGAAUAUACUGAGAAACACAUAUGUUUUGAUAUAUCAUGUUUAUGUCAUAAUACCAAAACUCUGAUGUUUUACCUUAUAAAUUUGAGCUAGAUAUCAAUACUACCAGUCAGGAGCACAAAAGCAUCGUAUUAUCCAUCUUGUGCAAUGCGCCAUGUUUUCUUACAAAUGCACCGUUUCAUGAUAAAAGGACGAUCUAAUGAUGAAAGUAUAAUUUUGACAAAAGCCUUUGUUGUUGACUCGCAUUCUGCAAGACUUUUUUGUUUCUUGCUGUCCUAAUACUCCACUCAGCCAACAGCCCAACACAAUAAUUACUAUAUAGAAUUGAACUCAGCCAUUUAGCCUAUAUUAAAUAACUGUGUUCAUCCUUUGUUAGUCUUUGGAAUUGGCUACGGAAAGUAUUUGCUUGUUAAAUCCUAACAAAGCAGUGGCAUGAAUAGGAAACUUAGUCAAUGAACAUAACUAGUCAGCAAUAAAAUUUUCCUAUGUUCAUGGGAAUUUAAUUUUGUGUUUGUUCUUGAGUUCAACGUAAAUGUUUCUGUAAAAUCCGAUAUUGCUGCAUGAAGUGAGUUCUGUCUGGAGUUAAUAUCGUGGGACCAGUUCAAAGCAGCUGUCCUGAAGGAGGUUGUUGGUUCUGUACUUGCAGGUUUCACAUGCUGUCUGAGUUUGACGAGGGGAAAAAAAGUUGCCGGAAGCGUUUGGAUGGCCAUAAUAGGCGUCGAAGAAAGCCACAGCAUGAUCUGACAAAUCUUGGGGGUUUCAUUCCGUACCAUCAAGGUCUGUACAUUUCUGCUUACAUAAGUUGGGCAUCUUGGUAAUUUAAUAAUACUACUCGUAGGAGUUAGUUAAUCCAGUUUAGGUACCUCAUUAAUACUACUAUAUAUAUAGUCUUUAUUAAAUGAUGGAUCUAUUUAAAAUGAUAGCACAGAACUAUAUCUAUUAGCGUGUCUAAUCACAUUUUUAAUCUAGCAGAGCUCAUCUUCAUCAUUUUCAUUGAACUGAUUGCCAACUUGAACAUAUUUCUUCUGGAACUAUUUUUUUAGCAAGCUUUACCCAAUUUCCAAUAGGGUAGCAGAAAAGUAGAUGAAUGAUGUUUGUUUUUUUACUUGCAGUUAAUCAAUUUGAAAUUUAUCCACAAACAACUCCAACAGUCCGCGAGAAUUCUGACACUAUGCACUUGGUCCAUCGUCAGCCACCCUUCUCCAUAUCAUUCUCAAGAACACCAAAGCAGCUCCCUUUCCCACAGGACGGUGGUGGCAUGCUCAGUGCAUCCCACCACGGUCAUUUUUUGGUUGAGGAUAGCAACCACACUGGAAGCAGCGCAUGCAACAACACGCUGGGCCCCAAGUGUGCUCUCUCUCCUCUGUCAUCAUCGCUGCAUCAUCCCUCCCCUGCUGGCCAAGCACAGGUUGCCUCUGCACUCUCUCGCAUUGCUUCCGCGUCACAGCAGGUUGCAACAGCAGCUGUCACUGCUGCGUUUGCAUCUGGUGGCAGCCACCAUGUGUUUGUUCCUGAUGCUGUGUUGGAGGAUCCUUCACAGGCACUGCCAUUUCCUUGGCAGUAGUAGACAAAAUGUGUUGUGUUUUGUGUUGCUGCCGAGUUCUCAAUUUCUUGCAAUGGUGUUGACUGGGAUGUGUUGUGUUUUGUGUUGCUGCCGAGUUCUCAAUUUCUUGCAAUGGUGUUAACUGGGACUUGGGGGGGUGUUUGUGCACCUGGAGAUUCAGUUGUAGUCAGGAGAUGUAUACAAGUGAUCCUGCAGGAGAUGGAGGUGGUGGCUGUUGUGCAGAUUGUUUAGUUGAUUGAUUUAAAUGUGUCCUGUUAAUAAUUCUGUGCAUUUUUGUGAUAUUUAUUUUUGCAAAAAUAUAUGCAUGUAUGCGCUACUGGAAUUCUGGAAUGCCUUCAGGGACACAAAAGAUCUGAUGGGCAGAUGGCUCAGUUUUACAUGGGUCCGCUUUGCCUAGUUCAAUACUUCAAUCCAAUGCUAUUAUUGAUAAUGGGCCAAUUCGGGCUGGGCUGAUUUUGCUGUGGUCCAUUUGUCUGUCUGUGUGUGUGUAUUGGUAAUUUUGUUUGCAGCACAUGGAGGACCCUGUGCCAUUCAAUACGGAGUUACGGACCCAUGGGCUGAAGAAUGUUAUAAAUCGCAUAUGCAUGUUACUGGAAGUCAUCACGUGGCACUUCUCCUGGAAUAUUUUUUUUCUACUGUUAGAAAACUUUUUUUUUCUCUCUUCGUAGAACUUUUUCUUUCUACUGUUGGAACAUUUUCCAUCGAAGUGGUGAGUGGAAAAUGUGUCAGCAGUAGAAUCAAAAUUGUUCCAUCCGAAGGGGUAAGGUAGAAAAUGUUUCAAGAGUAGAGAAAGUUGUUCUAACAGUGGAAACGAUGUGUGCUAUAUGAUGGCUUUCAGUAGCAUAUGCAAUUUAUAGCGGCGCUGCUAGCGCUCGGACGUCCGAUGAGAAAUAUUAGCGCUCGGACGUCCGAUGAGAAAUAUUUCAUCGGAUGUUCCGAUGAAACAUUAAAAAUUAUCUAGUGCCAUAUUAGCGGUCACUGUUUGCAACAUAAAAAAUAAUGUGUAAAAAUGACUACGUUGUCUGACUUUGAGAUAAAAAAUUACCGCCGCAAAUGAAUACUAUAUUUCAUGCAACAUUCACUAUGAAAUAUGCGAAAAUAAUAGUUGCAAUAUCUAUGCUUAACUAUUGCAACGUAUGUCAGGCGCGUCUGAUUUUUUAAGAUUUCGGACGUAUGUUUUGUAGCAUUACCGAAUUUAUAAACACCCCCUCCCCCCAAGAGUGACUUUGAUUUCACAAUGUCAAGGUGAGACAACAUACUAUCUCUAUCUUUUAAUAAUACUCGCCAAUUCUGAAUUUUGUAUUCAAACUUUGAUCAAUGUUACAUAUCUUAAAAUGUUAUUUAUUCAGGUAACGUAAAAAAACCGUCGUUAGAUUUUUCUAUCCAAAGUACUACUAGAAUGUUUUAGACAUGUAAUUUUGUUUAGAUAUGUGUGGAUGAAAUUUGAUGCUAAAGUUUAAAUUGCAAAGUAAAAAAAAAUAAGGGAAGUACAAAUAAGCGGAGGAAGAACUAUGGUGGCUAUUCAGGCCACCUUGUGGUGCUGACGAGCAAUAAAUUACAAGAGCUAUUGUGGCUAUUCAGGCCAUCUUGCUAGCAUAAGUUUGUAUGAUCCAAACGGCCCUUCACAUGCGCAAAGCGUCCAACAUUUACUACAGGCGAAAAGCACACGGGACAGUGUAGCUCUGUAUGACCGUUGCGUGGAAUGCCGAUUGAUGCAAAAGGGCGCAAGGCACGCCAACUACGAGUCUGGCUUGAUCUCCUGGGGGAUCAGGAUUCAGUGCAUCCAGGAUGCUUUGGAUCGAGAGAUUGACGGCUCAGAUCAAGCCUUGUCCUAAAAUACCAUUCGUUUUGUUUUUUCCAGAUAUAUUACUUGUACUAUGUAUUUAACAUAAUAUAUAUUUAGCUAUUAAAAAUCCAAAACGAAUAGUAAUUUAGCAUGAAGAGAGUACGUAAGUUCAUAUCUGAUCGUAAGUUCAUAUCUGUUCAAACAAACUACGCAUCUUUUGACGUUAGUCGGUCAGUCUCACUGUUCAAACAAACUACGCAUCUUUUGACGUUAGUCGGUCAGUCUCACUGUUCAAACAAACUACGCAUCUUUUGGUGUCAGUCGGUCAGUCUCACUGUUCAAACGGAGUAUAAACAUGCAAAUGGAAGUGAGACUACCAACCAUGGGAAUUAAACGAAGUGACCUUAUUCAUCAUAGAAGCAACGUGCUGAAUUCGUAGCAGAGUAUGUGCAGUCAGCAUCCGCAGCAACUAUCGGAGAUCGCUAGGGUAUGGGCACGCCAACAACUCUUCAUUCAUCUCCAUUCCAAGUCCAUCCAAAGAGUUGUUCCAUAGCUGAAGAAGAUUAGACCAAUAAUGACCCUGUUUGUUUCCGCAAUUCCGCUUAUAAGCAGCUUAUCGAUAAAAAUAAGUGUGAAUCCCACCAAACGUCUUGCUUAUUUUCAUUUAUUCUCGCUUACGUGGUAAGCCGCUUCAGAGAUUUCAACUACAAGAAUCAAAAAACAAGAAGCAAAAAAAUCUUCACUUAGAUUAUAAUCCAAAUAUGACUGAGAGAAGCAGAAAUAAACCUGGCAAAUGUAGUAUGAGGCGGGGAAAAAAGAGAGCUAUGAAUUUCUGAAGGGCAGGGUGAUCCUCGCUCUGUGGUUGCUAAGGCUUAUCGGCUAGGGUGUGUGGCGUUUGUCAGGUGCCUUAUUAUGGAUGUGCAAUUUAUCACUAAAAUUUAUAGUUUUCAAAUAAUGAUGUGAAAUUAGCAUAUUGGUGUAGGCGUGUAGCUAUAGAAGAUUAUGUGGAUGUUCACCAUGGGCAAAUUUGGGCUCGGCUUAUUCUCAGAUUUAGAAAAUAUUUUGAUUGUAACAAAAAAUGGAAAACUCACAGGAUAGAAGAGAGAGGAAAAAAAGAAUUCAUUAACAAGGACAAUGAAAGAUAGAAACGGAGAUGUCUUUUUUUUUUGAAACAAAAAUGAAGAUGAGAGAACCGGGGAGAGAAAAAACAACAACGUGCUCUAUUGGGCUGCACCCCUAUGAUUGACGGUACGGGCCUUAUGGGCUGUCACUUGGGUGACACAUCACAGUCUCAUGAGCGACUCAUAAUCUAAAAAAAAUUAGCGACUCAUGACUCAUGUGAAAAAUAUUACCUUCUCCAUCUUCUAAUAUGAAUUUAUUUUUCAAGCUUUGGCCACUAAUACAUAUUUUUAAACCUAUUCAAGAUUUUCUAUUUAAAGUUUGACCAAUAAUAUUGUUUAAAAAAUUAUUCAGUUAUUAAGUAAUAAUUUGGAAAUAUUACUGUUAGAUUUUUUUCCUUUCAAAAUUUAUUAGAAUGUCAUACUUACAAUUGUUUGGAUAUGUAUUUUAAAAAGAUUCGAUAACCAAAGUUUGAACUGUAAAGUCAUCAGAACAUACAAGUAUUUAAAAACAGCAGGAGUAGAAAAUAGGCGAACGAUCUUAUCACAACUACUCGGGCAAACUCCAUUUCUGAAGGAGCUCUCAAGUAGUGAACAUGUAAAUCUUUGCUGCUGAGUGCUGACGAGCAAUGAACUAGGAAAAAAGAACUAUGCUGGUUAGUGGUUACUGUAAUCUCUAGGUACUCCAACACUUGGACCCCACUGGCACUGGUAAAUUGUUUGUUAGCACAAGUUUCUACGAUGAAGACGAGCCCUUAACAUGUGCGCAAAUUGCAAACGUCCAAUCAUUACAACAGGUGAAAAUAAGAAACAUGGAAAAUGAAGAGAGCAGUGCGUGGCUCCAUAUAUGCCUAUUGUGUGGAAUGCACGCCAACAUUUCACCCUUAAAAUGCGAGAUUUACACUGUGAAGAAACUGGCGCGACCCUGAAGUUGUUAACUCAGAACUUGGGGCGUUUUAAUUGGACCCUUGGAUCGACCCAGCGACGUCAGACCACAAAAAGUUUCAGAACAGCCCAGCAAGGAAACUGCAAAUGGAAGGGUGAGACGGCCCCAUGGAAAAUGAUUGAACUUUAUCACAACAGUAGCGUUCUAGAUUAUCGUCGCAGAGCAUGUGUAGCACGGCAACAACUAUAGGGUAGAAUAUGGACAUGCCAACAACUCUUCAUCUCCAACCCAUGUGCAUCUGAAGAGUUUGUUCCGUAGUUCUUUCCACCUAAAUUGUGCAUUUUUCUUGGGUGGACUAGUCGGUGGUUUCGGCACAUUAGGUCAGCAUUGGUACCUUUUUUACAUUUAUUUUCUCUACUGUUUCUGAAAAUGAAUAACUCCAUGGCUGCAAACUUUGGGGAUGCGUAUACAUGCAGGCCUUAGUGUGCACACAACACUGCAAUCCAAUGGCUUCAAUGAUAUUCACUAGAGUUUGACUUCUCAUGAAAAUUGAAACAGGUAAUGCUGCCACAAAGUGGUAUUUCAGGAUGAUUUACAGGAAUCAAGAACAUGAUUAAAUGGCCAAAGUUUAGGUGGGACGUCAACUUCUGUAGAAUGUCAUCUAAAAAUAAGAUUAAAGUACUUGCUCACUCAACCACAAAAAGGGGCUCAAAUUAAAUACUCCGGGCUGAUCUUAUAGAUUCAGACCAAUGAAAACGUUGCUGAACUACUGGCCACCAAGUAGCUGGCCAGGAACAGGUACCGAAACAAUUUUCAGACGAGAACAGAAAGAGCAGAAAGAUUGAAGUUCUGAAACAAAAAGGUGGCAAAUCGAUCCUCAGUUAGCAUCUCAAGCAAAUCGAAGCUCAGUUAGGCACUGCUAACACAACUCAUGCUAACAAGAGACAUGGAAGAUCAUGAUCAACAUGCAGUACUGCACAGAAGAGAUACAUUUGACAGAACAGUAGUAAGCCUUUGACGGCUUAACCUGACAAAUGCCCAAAGAACAUUGAACCCCCCCAUACUAGUAUACCAUGCUAGCCAACAACGGAGAUGAACAUGCCUCUACCACUGUACCUAAUGAAUAAUCUGGCCGGUCAGAGAGGAGGCCGCCGCCGCUGCGGUCGACUGAAGACUAGCCGAGGUACACGUGCACGCCGACGGCGAGGAGCAGGAUGGCGAUGAGGGUGAAGUAGAUGAUGGCGUGGAUGAGAAUGGAGAGGCCGCUGGUCUGGAAGUUGCCGAACUCGAUGAUCCGGCCCUUGCCCGGGAUCUGGAACAGCAGCCCCGGCGAGAGGAGGAUGAACAGCACCAGUCCGAUGAACACCGGCGCCCAGUCCGCCAUGAUCUCAGAGCAGCUGCGGCGACGGCGACGACGAUGACCUCCUCACGGCUACAGGCUACCCCAGCCUCCACUGUGUGUGCUCUCAGCUAGCUCCUGCUCCUUCUGUUUGGUUUGGGAUGGUAUGGCGUAGGACCAGUGGGGGAGUGGUAGGAGGAGCGUGGAGAGGGUAAUAUAUAGUGGCCUUUUGGCCAGGGAAUAACUAAAUUGGAGGGCAAAAAGGAUGGUGGGUGCAUGUGUUGGGAGGGAGGGUGAUCCUCUGUGGCUAUAGGGAGGAUUGGUCAUGGUUUGGGUUUCUUACUCAGUCUUUCGGCGAUUCACACAUUUUGUGGUUUGUUACCAUCACAGAAUGAAGUCGGUUGUGAGAAAAGGGACAUGUGAAACUUGACACAUUGACGUAGCUGUAAAUUAUGUGUGACAGUAAGGGCUCGUUUGGCACGGUUGUGGAUGUAGCUGAAACGGCUUCGGCUGUGGCUCCUCUGGUGGAGCAGCUUCUCUGGUAAGGGCUGUGGCUUGUUUGGCAGGGUUGAUCAGUUUUUUC